GAUGAACGCUGGCGGCGUGCCUAAUACAUGCAAGUCGAGCGAACAGACGAGGAGCUUGCUCCUCUGACGUUAGCGGCGGACGGGUGAGUAACACGUGGAUAACCUACCUAUAAGACUGGGAUAACUUCGGGAAACCGGAGCUAAUACCGGAUAAUAUAUUGAACCGCAUGGUUCAAUAGUGAAAGACGGUUUUGCUGUCACUUAUAGCUGGAUCCGCGCCGCAUUAGCUAGUUGGUAAGGUAACGGCUUACCAAGGCAACGAUGCGUAGCCGACCUGAGAGGGUGAUCGGCCACACUGGAACUGAGACACGGUCCAGACUCCUACGGGAGGCAGCAGUAGGGAAUCUUCCGCAAUGGGCGAAAGCCUGACGGAGCAACGCCGCGUGAGUGAUGAAGGUCUUCGGAUCGUAAAACUCUGUUAUUAGGGAAGAACAAAUGUGUAAGUAACUAUGCACGCCUUGACGGUACCUAAUCAGAAAGCCACGGCUAACUACGUG
rnacentral:rRNA from 1 species